rnacentral:lncRNA from 1 species
UGGCCCUGGGCUUGUGGUAGUGCCACGGAGAUGGCAGAAGCAGAGGAGCUGGAGCAGGAACUUGCAAUGAAGGUCGAGACUGCCCACGCACAUCCAUGCUACCCUUGGCCAGAAGAAUGGAUGGUGGGUCCUGGGUCCUGGGUCCUGGGUCCUGAAGACAACUCCCUGACCACUGAAGCUUUUUGUGGCACUGGGCAUGGGUGUGAUGGAUGGCAAGACAGGGCUGUUCCGAGGUCUGAGCCCCCAACUGAUGUGACCCCUCUCCUUUGUAACCAGGGGCAGCGUGAAGGUUUUCCCUCCAGAUGAAAUCAAGCAGGUUUCCAAUAAGGAUGGAUAUGAAGACUUCUCUGAAGCAAGCAGUGAAGGAGACCUCCUAGGGGAUGAUGAUGCAGUGUGCGUCCUGUAUGUUGGCCCACCCCCUGCAUGCCAUCUUGAUGUGCUGCAUGGUCUAAUUUGUGGGAUGGGAGGUUAAGUACAGUGGUGUGCUGAGCUCCACUGGGAAGAUUUUCAAAGAGAAAGGGCCACUGGGAUUCUUUGUUGGCUUGAUCCCUCAUGUCCCGGGUGAAGUAGUUUUCUUGUGAGGCUAUAACCUGCUGGCCCACUUUAUCAAUGCCCACCUGGCGGAUGACAGAGUGAGUGACACCUAGAGGGGCUGAGAAAUGACCAGAAUCGGGGUUCCCAGUUAGGCCAGGCCCUGACCAUCCAAAGCUACACCAAGUUUGUGAUGGAGAUCGCAGUGAGCAUGCUGACCUACCCUUUCCUGCCAGUUGGCAGCCUCAUGGCUGUGAACAACUGCAGGCCGCAGGCUGGGCCCUCUCCUUACUCCCUGGUGUUCAAAUCCUGGAUUUACUGCUGUAAGUACCUGAGUGUGCAGGGCCAGCUCUUCUGAGGCUCCAGCCUGCUUUUCCCCACGUGUCAUCAGGAUCAUGCUUUCGCCUGGAGC